UCAGGCUUUAUUGAAUGGAAGUCUUAGGGGCUGGAUUGUCCUUGUUUGGAGCUGCUGCAGAGAGGCUACAUUGAACAUGGAUCAGGUGUUCCCAGGACCUAGGUGGGUGGAGGACAUCCAGCCAACUAGCGGCCUCCCCGGGGCUCCUAGGUAGAGGGUUGGAUGAUAGCCUGAAGCAGCCACCAGGGCUUUCCUAAUUCCUGGGACUCUGUUUUCCUCCUUUGAUAUUCCCUUCCUUUCUCAGAUCAAUUAUUUGAUGAUAUAAUCAAAACACCAAGAAAGAACUAUUUCAGUAUAACUCCUUUGAUCAGGUAACACAGAAAAUGUGUCUGUCCUAACUUACCUGACUCCUUAACACCGAAAGGAUGACGUCAGAGCUGAAGAUGUUGGUUGAGCACUGUGGGAAAAAUUGCCUCCUUGCACCUUGAAGGUCUAACUUUAAUGCAAAGACUUGUUUUUAUUUUCGGUUGUGGCACUUGCUUGAGACCAACUCUGCUCAUUCCAAACACAAGCUGGAGAUAGAGACACGCCCCUCUCCAACAUAGGGAACCAGGGCUGGAGAUAGAGACACGCCCCUCUCCAACAUAGGGAACCAGGGCUGGAGAUAGAGACACGCCCCUCUCCAACAUAGGGAACCAGGGCUGGAGAUAGAGACACGCCCCUCUCCAACAUACGGAACCAGGAAAAUA
rnacentral:lncRNA from 1 species